rnacentral:lncRNA from 1 species
CCGAUCUCUGGGCUGGUACUAGGAAAGUGUCUGCAAAGAGUCCUUUGAUGUGACCUGUCUUCAGAUAUCUCAGUCUUGGAUAUCAGCACCUGCUCCAGCGGAGCAUCAAUUGCUCUACAAUUUGGAGAUAUCAGACGAACAGAGGGAAAAUGCAGUCAGUGGUCUAAAGCUGCCCCUUAGGAAAUCUAAGGCUAUAUCUGGUUCCAUAAAGUCUUUAAUCAGUCAGUCAGAACAACUGCAGCAUUCCUGCCGCUCAGAAUACCUUAAUGGCCUUAGUAGCUGAGGUCCUCACAGCACUGGCAAGAGCAACAUGGCAUUGGAAUGGGAGGACUGAAGAAGCAAGUGCUCAUAUCUGCUUUCUGUUACGCGGUAAAAGGGGCAUUUUCCACGGAUCAGAGAAGGCCAAUGUUAGUCCAGCUGUGACAACUAGUAAGGUGAGUAUUAGAUAUCUAACUCAAUGAUGUAUAUUAUCAUGAUUAUUUGGUCAUACAUCUUUAUUCCAAACUUUUUCUUC